UACAGAGGGUGCGAGCGUUGUCCGGAAUCACUGGGCGUAAAGGGCGCGUAGGCGGCCCGGUAAGGUUGCGGUGAAAGCCCGGGGCUCAACCCCGGGUCGGCCGCGGCAACUGCUGGGCUGGAGCACAGUAGAGGCGGGUGGAAUUCCGGGUGUAGCGGUGGAAUGCGUAGAGAUCCGGAAGAACACCGGUGGCGAAGGCGGUCUGCUGGGGUAAUGCUGACACUGAUGCGCGACAGCGUGGGGAGCAAACAGG
rnacentral:rRNA from 1 species